rnacentral:tRNA from 1 species
GCCCAGAUGGUGGAAUGGUAGACACGAGGGACUUAAAAUCCCUUGGCCAAUAGGCUGUGUGGGUUCGAUCCCCACUCUGGGUACCA